GUCAGUUUGAUCGUCAAAAUCUUGAAAGUUAUCUGCAGCCACACAUCCACUGUAUACCAAGUUAUGAUGAACAAUUAUGAAAAUGCAAAAGGAUUGAUAGAUCAGUAAACAAGCAACAAAAAGCUUUACAAAAAAUGUAGAAUUUGUAGGAGCGCAUGGACAUCUGAGUAACAAAGUCAUAUUAUGCAGAUGGGUGCUCAUGGUGGCCUCCAAAUAAAUACAUGGACAGGCUGCUAAAGAGGGUCAGGAUGAUGGAGAUGCAAGAGCCAAAGACAGCACAGACCAAACACCAGGCCAGAAUUCUGCAUGAGUCAGAUUGAGUAAUUUUCACUCUAGAGACCCUUGGGUGACCACCAAGGACGAAUGCAAACUCCAGUGAGUGUCUCUAAGGUAGAUCCUAAUGCAGAUGGAUGGAAUGUUGAUCCGCCUAACAUGCAAGCUACAGAGGGCAUCCUUUAUUCAGUCCCUAAUGCAGAUGGUUGGAGUGUUGAUCUACCUAACAUGAGGGGUAAAAGAGUGUUUGUUAGCAUAAUGAGAAAGAAAACAGAAACACAUUAUUAGUGGCAUUUAAAAACAUAACACUUGUUUAUACUACAUUUUAUGUUCAAUCCAUAGAGCACUCGUUUUGAGUCCUUUAGACCCUGGGGUGACCACCGUGAACAAAUACAGAAGCACUCAAUUUGAGUCCUGAGACCCUGGGGUGACCACCGUGAACAAAUACAGACUGCAAUAGCAGUCUUGACGGUACUAGGAUGAAUGCAAAUAAAGACUAACCACCUGACAUCAGCUGUCCAGUCUCUUGUGGGAAGCAGGUGCUUGUUACCCCAAAUACGGAUGAAGAGUGACGAAGAGGAUGAUGACUUU